rnacentral:rRNA from 1 species
CAAUGGAACGAAAGUCUGAUGGAGCAACGCCGCGUGAGUGAAGAAGGGUUUCGGCUCGUAAAGCUCUGUUGGUAGUGAAGAAAGAUAGAGGUAGUAACUGGCCUUUAUUUGACGGUAAUUACUUAGAAAGUCACGGCUAACUACGUGCC